AUUUUGAAGUGCGUAUGGAAAAACAAAAAUGUGGCCGUGGCUGCAUGGGGGGGGGGGGGGUUUGGGGGGGGAGGGAAGCGCCUCUGCUUUGCCAGCGCUAGGUUUGUGACACAGGCAGUUUAGCUGGCAGCGAGUAUAUUUAGCACUUCCCCGAGCCCUGUGCAAGCAUUCACUAAUUAAUUGACGCAGAUCUUCUCCCUGCCGGCGCCGCGCGACGGCCCUGGGCAGCGGGGCGGGAGGCCCGCGGCGCUGCCCGCCGCCCCACAGAAGAGACCACAGCUCACGGCUAGCGAAUCUCUCUCCCUCUGCGCUCUCCUGCUGCUUGUUAGCUUGGAUUGAGCACUGUCCACAGAACUUCUCAUCAGCUCCCAGUACAGGCAGAGUGAAUUUGGAUCUCUCUGAAGAACCAGCCCAGAUUCAGGAUAUGUUUUUCUUCGUCUGAGUAAUAGUCAGGCAUCUGCACUGCAUACCGUAGUUGGAUGGAGCUUCUCAGGAUACUUGCUUUUCAGAUGGGCUUUGUAGUAGCAUCUCCUUGCAGAAUUGACUUCAGAAAAUAAUUUUCCCUGCUAGCAUUAUCUUAGUUUAAAAAGGAUGAAGGUUGUAAAGAUGUGGGUUUUUUUUCAGCUAAUGGUUACUCAGCUGACCCCUUUGCUUUUACAUUUUGUCUCUCAAGGGUUCUGUUAAAUAAAAUUUAUAUUAAUAGUACA
rnacentral:lncRNA from 1 species